rnacentral:rRNA from 1 species
UACGUAGGGUGCAAGCGUUAAUCGGAAUUACUGGGCGUAAAGCGUGCGCAGGCGGUGAUGUAAGACAGGUGUGAAAUCCCCGGGCUUAACCUGGGAACUGCAUUUGUGACUGCACAGCUGGAGUGCGGCAGAGGGGGAUGGAAUUCCGCGUGUAGCAGUGAAAUGCGUAGAUAUGCGGAGGAACACCGAUGGCGAAGGCAAUCCCCUGGGCCUGCACUGACGCUCAUGCACGAAAGCGUGGGGAGCAAACAGG